AACGCUAGCUACAGGCUUAACACAUGCAAGUCGAGGGGCAUCAGGAAGAAAGCUUGCUUUCUUUGCUGGCGACCGGCGCACGGGUGAGUAACACGUAUCCAACCUGCCCUUUACUCGGGGAUAGCCUUUCGAAAGAAAGAUUAAUACCCGAUGGCAUAAUGAUUCCGCAUGGUUUCAUUAUUAAAGGAUUCCGGUAAAGGAUGGGGAUGCGUUCCAUUAGGUUGUUGGUGAGGUAACGGCUCACCAAGCCUUCGAUGGAUAGGGGUUCUGAGAGGAAGGUCCCCCACAUUGGAACUGAGACACGGUCCAAACUCCUACGGGAGGCAGCAGUGAGGAAUAUUGGUCAAUGGGCGCUAGCCUGAACCAGCCAAGUAGCGUGAAGGAUGAAGGCUCUAUGGGUCGUAAACUUCUUUUAUAUAAGAAUAAAGUGCAGUAUGUAUACUGUUUUGUAUGUAUUAUAUGAAUAAGGAUCGGCUAACUCCGUGCCAGCAGCCGCGGUAAUACGGAGGAUCCGAGCGUUAUCCGGAUUUAUUGGGUUUAAAGGGAGCGUAGGUGGACUGGUAAGUCAGUUGUGAAAGUUUGCGGCUCAACCGUAAAAUUGCAGUUGAUACUGUCAGUCUUGAGUACAGUAGAGGUGGGCGGAAUUCGUGGUGUAGCGGUGAAAUGCUUAGAUAUCACGAAGAACUCCGAUUGCGAAGGCAGCUCACUGGACUGCAACUGACACUGAUGCUCGAAAGUGUGGGUAUCAAACAGGAUUAGAUACCCUGGUAGUCCACACAGUAAACGAUGAAUACUCGCUGUUUGCGAUAUACAGUAAGCGGCCAAGCGAAAGCAUUAAGUAUUCCACCUGGGGAGUACGCCGGCAACGGUGAAACUCAAAGGAAUUGACGGGGGCCCGCACAAGCGGAGGAACAUGUGGUUUAAUUCGAUGAUACGCGAGGAACCUUACCCGGGCUUAAAUUGCAGUGGAAUGAUGUGGAAACAUGUCAGUGAGCAAUCACCGCUGUGAAGGUGCUGCAUGGUUGUCGUCAGCUCGUGCCGUGAGGUGUCGGCUUAAGUGCCAUAACGAGCGCAACCCUUAUCUUUAGUUACUAACAGGUCAUGCUGAGGACUCUAGAGAGACUGCCGUCGUAAGAUGUGAGGAAGGUGGGGAUGACGUCAAAUCAGCACGGCCCUUACGUCCGGGGCUACACACGUGUUACAAUGGGGGGUACAGAAGGCAGCUAGCGGGUGACCGUAUGCUAAUCCCAAAAGCCUCUCUCAGUUCGGAUCGAAGUCUGCAACCCGACUUCGUGAAGCUGGAUUCGCUAGUAAUCGCGCAUCAGCCACGGCGCGGUGAAUACGUUCCCGGGCCUUGUACACACCGCCCGUCAAGCCAUGGGAGCCGGGGGUACCUGAAGUACGUAACCGCAAGGAUCGUCCUAGGGUAAAACUGGUGACUGGGGCUAAG
rnacentral:rRNA from 1 species